AUUGAACGCUGGCGGCAUGCCUUACACAUGCAAGUCGAACGGUAACAGGUCUUCGGACGCUGACGAGUGGCGAACGGGUGAGUAAUACAUCGGAACGUGCCCAGUCGUGGGGGAUAACUACUCGAAAGAGUAGCUAAUACCGCAUACGAUCUGAGGAUGAAAGCGGGGGACCUUCGGGCCCCGCGCGAUUGGAGCGGCCGAUGGCAGAUUAGGUAGUUGGUGGGAUAAAAGCUUACCAAGCCGACGAUCUGUAGUUGGUCUGAGAGGACGACCAGCCACACUGCGACUGAGACACGGCCCAGACUCCUACGGGAGGCAGCAGUGGGGAAUUUUGGACAAUGGGCGAAAGCCUGAUCCAGCAAUGCCGCGUGCAGGAUGAAGGCCUUCGGGUUGUAAACUGCUUUUGUACGGAACGAAAAAGCUCCUUCUAAUACAGGGGGCCCAUGACGGUACCGUAAGAAUAAGCACCGGCUAACUACGUGCCAGCCGCCGCCGUAA
rnacentral:rRNA from 1 species